AGGAACUUAGGAUAACCUAGACCAAGGGCCUUCAAAGCCCUAAGCAGGAGUUAAAAUCUCCUAGUUCCUG
rnacentral:tRNA from 1 species